GCUCAGGAUGAACGCUGGCGGCGUGCCUAACACAUGCAAGUCGAACGAAGCGAUUAGGAUGAAGUUUUCGGAUGGAUUCCUGGUUGACUGAGUGGCGGACGGGUGAGUAACGCGUGGAUAACCUGCCUCACACUGGGGGAUAACAGUUAGAAAUGGCUGCUAAUGCCGCAUAAGCACACAGUACCGCAUGGUACGGUGUGAAAAACCCAGGUGGUGUGAGAUGGAUCCGCGUCUGAUUAGCCAGUUGGCGGGGUAACGGCCCACCAAAGCGACGAUCAGUAGCCGACCUGAGAGGGUGACCGGCCACAUUGGGACUGAGACACGGCCCAAACUCCUACGGGAGGCAGCAGUA
rnacentral:rRNA from 1 species